AGACCCGAAACCCGGUGAUCUAGCCAUGGGCAGGUUGAAGGUUGGGUAACACUAACUGGAGGACCGAACCGACUAAUGUUGAAAAAUUAGCGGAUGACCUGUGGCUGGGGGUGAAAGGCCAAUCAAACCGGGAGAUAGCUGGUUCUCCCCGAAAGCUAUUUAGGUAGCGCCUCGUGAAUUCAUCUCCGGGGGUAGAGCACUGUUUCGGCUAGGGGGCCAUCCCGGCUUACCAACCCGAUGCAAACUGCGAAUACCGGAGAAUGUUAUCACGGGAGACACACGGCGGGUGCUAACGUCCGUCGUGAAGAGGGAAACAACCCAGACCGCCAGCUAAGGUCCCAAAGUCAUGGUUAAGUGGGAAACGAUGUGGGAAGGCCCAGACAGCCAGGAUGUUGGCUUAGAAGCAGCCAUCAUUUAAAGAAAGCGUAAUAGCUCACUGGUCGAGUCGGCCUGCGCGGAAGAUGUAACGGGGCUAAACCAUGCACCGAAGCUGCGGCAGCGAACGUAUCACUUAAAGCGAUUCAGCGGGUUACGAUUGACGGAGCGAAGCGACGUCAAAGCGUAUACAAAGUCGAGUCGGUUUAAGGAUACGUUCGUUGGGUAGGGGAGCGUUCUGUAAGCCUGUGAAGGUGGCCUGUGAGGGUUGCUGGAGGUAUCAGAAGUGCGAAUGCUGACAUAAGUAACGAUAAAGCGGGUGAAAAGCCCGCUCGCCGGAAGACCAAGGGUUCCUGUCCAACGUUAAUCGGGGCAGGGUGAGUCGACCCCUAAGGCGAGGCCGAAAGGCGUAGUCGAUGGGAAACGGGUUAAUAUUCCCGUACUUGGUGUUACUGCGAAGGGGGGACGGAGAAGGCUAUGUUGGCCGGGCGACGGUUGUCCCGGUUUAAGCGUGUAGGUGUGUGUUCCAGGUAAAUCCGGUUCACUUUAACACUGAGGCGUGAUGACGAGGCACUACGGUGCUGAAGCAACAAAUGCCCUGCUUCCAGGAAAAGCCUCUAAGCAUCAGGUAACAUCAAAUCGUACCCCAAACCGACACAGGUGGUCAGGUAGAGAAUACCAAGGCGCUUGAGAGAACUCGGGUGAAGGAACUAGGCAAAAUGGUGCCGUAACUUCGGGAGAAGGCACGCUGACAUGUAGGUGAAGUGAUUUACUCAUGGAGCUGAAGUCAGUCGAAGAUACCAGCUGGCUGCAACUGUUUAUUAAAAACACAGCACUGUGCAAACACGAAAGUGGACGUAUACGGUGUGACGCCUGCCCGGUGCCGGAAGGUUAAUUGAUGGGGUCAGCGCAAGCGAAGCUCCUGAUCGAAGCCCCGGUAAACGGCGGCCGUAACUAUAACGGUCCUAAGGUAGCGAAAUUCCUUGUCGGGUAAGUUCCGACCUGCACGAAUGGCGUAAUGAUGGCCAGGCUGUCUCCACCCGAGACUCAGUGAAAUUGAACUCGCUGUGAAGAUGCAGUGUACCCGCGGCAAGACGGAAAGACCCCGUGAACCUUUACUAUAGCUUGACACUGAACAUUGAGCCUUGAUGUGUAGGAUAGGUGGGAGGCUUUGAAGCGUGGACGCCAGUCUGCGUGGAGCCGGCCUUGAAAUACCACCCUUUAAUGUUUGAUGUUCUAACGUGGACCCGUGAUCCGGGUUGCGGACAGUGUCUGGUGGGUAGUUUGACUGGGGCGGUCUCCUCCUAAAGAGUAACGGAGGAGCACGAAGGUUGGCUAAUCCUGGUCGGACAUCAGGAGGUUAGUGCAAUGGCAUAAGCCAGCUUGACUGCGAGCGUGACGGCGCGAGCAGGUGCGAAAGCAGGUCAUAGUGAUCCGGUGGUUCUGAAUGGAAGGGCCAUCGCUCAACGGAUAAAAGGUACUCCGGGGAUAACAGGCUGAUACCGCCCAAGAGUUCAUAUCGACGGCGGUGUUUGGCACCUCGAUGUCGGCUCAUCACAUCCUGGGGCUGAAGUAGGUCCCAAGGGUAUGGCUGUUCGCCAUUUAAAGUGGUACGCGAGCUGGGUUUAGAACGUCGUGAGACAGUUCGGUCCCUAUCUGCCGUGGGCGCUGGAGAACUGAGGGGGGCUGCUCCUAGUACGAGAGGACCGGAGUGGACGCAUCACUGGUGUUCGGGUUGUCAUGCCAAUGGCACUGCCCGGUAGCUAAAUGCGGAAGAGAUAAGUGCUGAAAGCAUCUAAGCACGAAACUUGCCCCGA
rnacentral:rRNA from 1 species